UAGGGAAUCUUCCACAAUGGACGCAAGUCUGAUGGAGCAACGCCGCGUGAGUGAAGAAGGUUUUCGGACCGUAAAGCUCUGUUGUUGGUGAAGAAGGAUAGAGGUAGUAACUGGCCUUUAUUUGACGGUAAUCAACCAGAAAGUCACGGCUAACUACGUGCCAGCAGCCGCGGUAAUCGUAGGUGGCAAGCGUUGUCCGGAUUUAUUGGGCGUAAAGCGAGCGCAGGCGGAAGAAUAAGUCUGAUGUGAAAGCCCUCGGCUUAACCGAGGAAUUGCAUCGGAAACUGUUUUCUUGAGUGCAGAAGAGGAGAGUAGAACUCCAUGUGUAGCGGUGGAAUGCGUAGAUAUAUGGAAGAAUACCAGUGGCGAAGGCGGCUCUCUGGUCUGCAACUGACGCUGAGGCUCGAAAGCAUGGGUAGCGAACAGGAUUAGAUACCCUUGGUAGUCCAUGC
rnacentral:rRNA from 1 species